AUACGGAGGGUGCAAGCGUUAUUCGGAAUUACUGGGCGUAAAGCGCGCGUAGGCGGUUUGAUUAGUCGGAUGUGAAAGCCCUGGGCUCAACCUGGGAACUGCAUUCGAUACUGUCAGACUAGAAUAUGGUAGAGGGUAGUGGAAUUCCUGGUGUAGCGGUGAAAUGCGUAGAUAUCAGGAGGAACAUCAGUGGCGAAGGCGGCUACCUGGACCAAUAUUGACGCUGAGGUGCGAAAGCGUGGGGAGCAAACAGGAUUAGAAACCCUAGUAGUCC
rnacentral:rRNA from 1 species